CUACGGGGGGCUGCAGUGGGGAAUAUUGGACAAUGGGCGAAAGCCUGAUCCAGCCAUGCCGCGUGUGUGAAGAAGGUCUUCGGGUUGUAAAGCACUUUCAGUGGGGAAGAAAGCCUUGGGGCUAAUACCCUCGAGGAAGGACAUCACCCACAGAAGAAGCACCGGCUAACUCCGUGCCAGCAGCCGCGGUAAUACGGAGGGUGCGAGCGUUAAUCGGAAUUACUGGGCGUAAAGCGCGCGUAGGCGGUCUGAUAAGCCGGUUGUGAAAGCCCCGGGCUCAACCUGGGAACGGCAUCCGGAACUGUCAGGCUAGAGUGCAGGAGAGGAAGGUAGAAUUCCCGGUGUAGCGGUGAAAUGCGUAGAGAUCGGGAGGAAUACCAGUGGCGAAGGCGGCCUUCUGGACUGACACUGACGCUGAGGUGCGAAAGCGUGGGUAGCAAACAGGAUUAGAUACCCGAGUAUC
rnacentral:rRNA from 1 species